rnacentral:tRNA from 1 species
GGCCGGUUGGCGCAAUGGUAGCGCGCAGCCCUCCUAAGGCUGAGGCUGUCGGUUCGAGUCCGACAUCGGUCG